GACAACGUGCCAGAGUGGUUAAUGGGUAUGACUCGAACGUUGCCAUUGGCUCCCAAUAGAUAUCAUAUGACUUCGGUCGCACAGGUUCGAAUCCUGUCGUUGUCG